UUACAUCCAUUGCACAACUGACGAUUUUGUCUUGCGAGAAUCUGAUGAAUUUACCAAGUCUCCAAGCUAUGCAACGCCUCACCAAAUUACAAUAUCUCCUUAUUUAUGGAUAUCAUCCCCUUCUAAAGGAAAGAUGCAGGAAGGACAACGGCACAGAUUGGCAACAAGAAGAAAAACCAUGUUAAAAUGAAAGAAUUAAUAUCUGCAAGUAAGACUUUUUUGGGUUGCAGACUUUGUAUUUGGACUUUUAGUUUGCGCCAAUAAUGAUGCCAUGAAAAAAUAGAGAGAAAGAUGCAAUUCAAUAAAAAAAAGGUGAGCAAGAUUUGGUACCUGGGUUCUUCUUCUUUUCUUCUAUCUUCUACAAAACGUGCAAGCACUGGGGAAGAAAAGAGACACUGGCUUCAUCUUCUUCGGUUUUCUAGGGUUUUAGCUAUUAGGAUUUAAUUAUAAUGUUUGGGUUUAUUGAUAAAUUUUAGUUUUAUUAUUAAUUUCAUUUUGUACUUAAUAGUAAUUAUGUAAUAGAGUAAAAUAGACAAUUAAUGUAACAUCCCACAUCGCCCAGGAGAGUGAUCCUUAAAUGUAUAUUCACAUCCCUACCUAGCACGAGGCCUUUUGGGAGCUCAUUGGCUUCUGGUUCCGUAGGAACUCCGAAGUUAAGCGAGAAGGAGGCCAGAGCACUUCCAGGAUGGGUGACCCACUGGGAAGUUGCUCGUGAGUUCUCAAAAACAAAACCGCAAGGGCUUGGUAAGCCCAAAGCGGACAAUAUCGUGCUACGGUGGUGGAGCGGGCCCGGGAUGUGGUGGACCCAGGCCGGGAUGUGAUAAUUAACAUUCAAAAUUUUAAGUUGGGUGUAAAAAGAGGUUGUAUGGGUUUAAAUAAAAUUACCCUUAAAAUAUUUAUACAUGUGGAUACCACAAAAUCUUAUUUUAUACUUAAUGGAGGUAUAACAUUAACUCUUAAGUGUUUAUUUAAUCUACCGUUUUCACGCAAUACACAUUCUACGAAAAAAAUUUCAAUGAUCUAACCGUCAAACUUGUUUGUACACACUCUGAGAUCGCAUACAUAAAAAAUCACAAAAAAAAAACAUUCAGAGAUUAGGUAACAGAACAAAAGUUUUCGACGGUUAUAAACAAAAAAUCACAAUUUAACGAUUAUUUUACCUCUGAUUUUGAUGAUUUUUUACAGCUACACUCCUUGACCCUAUAAGAAUACAUUGAAUGAAUCCAAUCUUCAAUUUAAAAUAUUUACACUAGUGGAUACCACAAAAUCUUAUUUUAUACUUGAUGGGGAAGUAUAACAUUAACUCUAAGUGUUUAUUGAAUCUACCAUUUUGAUGCGAUACGCAUUCUACGAAACGUUUUUCAACGAUCCAACCGUCAAACUUGUUUGUACACACUCCGAGAUCAUAUAUGUAAAAAAUCACAAAAAACAAGCAUUCAGAUAUUAGGUAACGGAAUAAAAGUUUUCGAUGGUUAUAAACGAAAAAUCUUAAUUUAACGGUUAUUUUAGCUCCGAUUUUGAUGAUUUUUUACAACUACACUCCUCAACCCUAUAAGAAUGCAAUGAAUGAAUUCAAUCUUCAAUUUAAAAUAUUUAGACACUUAAUGGAAGUAUAACAUUGACUAUUUUACUAUUUUAUUAUUUUAAAAUGUUAUAUUGAUUAAAAAUAAAUAAAUUAAUAAACACAUGGUUUAAAUAUUUUUUUUUCACUCAUGGCCCUGUCCGAUAUAAUCCACACGAACAAAGCAAAAUUUUGGGCGCCACAAGAACAAUCUCUUAAUUUUUUUUUCACUCAUGGUCCCAUUACCUAAUCUUUGAAUGUUUGUUUUUUUUUUGUGAUUUUUUACACAUGCUAUCUCGGAGUAUAUACAAACAUAUUUGAUGGUUGGAUCAUUGAAACUAAGAACGUAUAUCCUAU
rnacentral:lncRNA from 1 species